UACGUAGGGUGCGAGCGUUAUUCGGAAUUACUGGGCGUAAAGCGUGCGCAGGCGGCCCGUUAAGACAGGUGUGAAAUCCCUGGGCUCAACCUAGGAAUUGCGCUUGUGACUGGCGGGCUCGAGUACGGUAGAGGGGGGUGGAAUUCCUGGUGUAGCAGUGAAAUGCGUAGAGAUCAGGAGGAACACCGAUGGCGAAGGCAGCCCCCUGGGCCUGUACUGACGCUCAUGCACGAAAGCGUGGGGAGCAAACAGG
rnacentral:rRNA from 1 species